rnacentral:rRNA from 1 species
AUUGAACGCUGGCGGCAUGCCUUACACAUGCAAGUCGAACGGUAACAGGUCUUCGGAUGCUGACGAGUGGCGAACGGGUGAGUAAUACAUCGGAACGUGCCCGAUCGUGGGGGAUAACGAAGCGAAAGCUUUGCUAAUACCGCAUAAGAUCUACGGAUGAAAGCAGGGGACCGCAAGGCCUUGCGCGAACGGAGCGGCCGAUGGCAGAUUAGGUAGUUGGUGGGAUAAAAGCUUACCAAGCCGACGAUCUGUAGCUGGUCUGAGAGGACGACCAGCCACACUGGGACUGAGACACGGCCCAGACUCCUACGGGAGGCAGCAGUGGGGAAUUUUGGACAAUGGGCGAAAGCCUGAUCCAGCCAUGCCGCGUGCAGGAUGAAGGCCUUCGAGUUGUAAACUGCUUUUGUACGGAACGAAAAGACUCUUUCUAAUAAAGAGGGUCCAUGACGGUACCGUAAGAAUAAGCACCGGCUAGCUACGUGCCAGCCGCCGCCGUAAUAC